CACGUAGGGUGCGAGCGUUGUCCGGAAUUAUUGGGCGUAAAGGGCUCGUAGGCGGUUCGUCACGUCGGGAGUGAAAAUCCGGGGCUCAACCCCGGACUUGCAGUGGGUACGGGCAGACUAGAGUGUGGUAGGGGAGACUGGAAUUCCUGGUGUAGCGGUGGAAUGCGCAGAUAUCAGGAGGAACACCGAUGGCGAAGGCAGGUCUCUGGGCCACUACUGACGCUGAGAAGCGAAAGCAUGGGGAGCGAACAGG
rnacentral:rRNA from 1 species